rnacentral:lncRNA from 1 species
AGGAAGAGAGGAAGGAAGGAAGGAAAGUACUCUUCCAGAUACAUAAGAAGCAUUUUAAUUGUUUUCUGAAGAUUGCCCAAGAAGUCACACAUUUCUCAUCAAUCAACAACUGUAGGAAAGGCCAUGUGUGGACACAGCAAGAAGGCGGCCAUUUGCAAGUCAGGAAGAAACCCCUCACCAGAACUUGACCAUGACGUCACCCUGAUCUUGGACUUCUAGCCUCCCGAUCUGUGAAAAAAUAAAUUUCU